UUGAUAGCGCAACCCCAAAGAUUAAUACAGGAGCACCCCUCGCAGAGAGGACUCAUAUCUCGCCUAUACAGGAGUUUAUACUCCAGAUGAGAAAAUCCGAGGAAGAAGCACUUUCGAAAUGUAACAAUGUGCUACGUAAGAUGAGAGAGGACAUGAAGAAACACACAUUAUUUGAAGUCAGACGCGAAUGGAUUUAUCGGAUGUACAGCAAGAUUUCCCUUUCAUAGAAAUCAAACCUUCGAAUAUUUACGGCCUACAUGUCACAUGUCAGUGCCCCUAACAGGUCCAGAAGUCUAUAAGGUUCAGUUGAUAUGACUAUCCUGAUUAAUGUCCGACCCGGCUCUGAACACAAGUACUCAUAAGGUCUGGUGUCAACCCUCGCGAGGACCUCACUGCCUGCAAAGGUACCCUCGGGGUCACUUAAAGGACAACUGCAAUACGAGGAAGGAUAACGGCUCUGAGUUGGGACCCAUAAGAAACGAUGACAACAAUUGAAACCCCCAAAAACACUGCAGAAGGAGAACCCGCCUUUAAGAUGAGUUAAAGAACAAAGAGGACACCGGUGAACUCGCCAGCAGUAGCUGUAGAAAUUGCGCAAAUUGAUAACGCAACACCAAAGAUUAAUACAGGAGCACCCCUCGCAGAGAGGACUCAUUCCUCGCCUAAACAGGAGUUUAUACUCCAGAUGAGAAAAUCCGAGGAAGAAGCACUUUCGAAAUGUAACAAUGUGUUACGUAAGAUGAGAGAGGCCAUCAACAAACACACAUUAUUUGAAGUCAGACGCGAAUGGAUUUAUCGGAUGUACAGCAAGAUUUCCCUUUCAUAGAAAUCAAACCUUCGAAUAUUUACGGCCUACAUGUCACAUGUCAGUGCCCCUAACAGGUCCAGAAGUCUAUAAGGU